rnacentral:rRNA from 1 species
GACGAACGCUGGCGGCCUGUCUAAGACAUGCAAGUCGAGCGAUGAAGUUCCUUCGGGAACCGAUUAGCGGCGGACGGGUGAGUAACACGUGGGCAACCUGCCUUAUAGAGGGGAAUAGCCUUCCGAAAGGAAGAUUAAUACCGCAUAAGAUUGUAGCUUCGCAUGAAGUAGCAAUUAAAGGAGCAAUCCGCUAUAAGAUGGGCCCGCGGCGCAUUAGCUAGUUGGUGAGGUAACGGCUCACCAAGGCGACGAUGCGUAGCCGACCUGAGAGGGUGAUCGGCCACAUUGGGACUGAGACACGGCCCAGACUCCUACGGGAGGCAGCAGUGGGGAAUAUUGCACAAUGGGGGAAACCCUGAUGCAGCAACGCCGCGUGAGUGAUGACGGCCUUCGGGUUGUAAAGCUCUGUCUUUGGGGACGAUAAUGACGGUACCCAAGGAGGAAGCCACGGCUAACUACGUGCCAGCAGCCGCGGUAAUACGUAGGUGGCAAGCGUUGUCCGGAUUUACUGGGCGUAAAGGGAGCGUAGGCGGAUUUUUAAGUGGGAUGUGAAAUACCCGGGCUCAACCUGGGUGCUGCAUUCCAAACUGGAAAUCUAGAGUGCAGGAGGGGAAAGUGGAAUUCCUAGUGUAGCGGUGAAAUGCGUAGAGAUUAGGAAGAACACCAGUGGCGAAGGCGACUUUCUGGACUGUAACUGACGUUGAGGCUCGAAAGCGUGNGGAGCAAACAGG